UCUGAAACCAGGAGAGAGGAGAGAAGCGCUCAGAGACCGCCGGCCGCGUGCUCAGCCGCCCAGGCCCCCGCGGGGGGCAGUUGCGAGCCGGAGAGGCCGGGCAGUUCAUAGCGUGCGGGGCGCCGGGACCGCCAUCAGGAGGUCCUCUCUGCCCUUUUGUCGCCUGCGAGAUCUAGAGGAAGUCCAACGUAAUCUCUGCGGGACCCAGUUUCCUCAUGCGUGAACACGGGGACCAGCACUAAUCACCUCUGGGGUCCCUUGGAGCUUCACUCUGGGGGAAAUCCCCGAGCAAACCCGAGUUCCUGCCGUGGGGGUGGGAGGCGCUGGGUGGGCGGUCCCAAGCGUGGGGUGGGGGGUGUCCGAGGCGGCGCGCACGGUCCCAGUGCCCCCCCCCGCCCCCUCCCCCCGUGCAAGUAGGGCGAGACACUGGUACACCUGUUAGCGGGGCCCUGAGAGGGGAAGCGCGACCGUUUAUAUAAAGCACUCCGCUCCCCAACUGACUGGUCCGGGGCUUCCCUCCUUGCGAGAGGGUCCGCCGGAGUUUGGCUGGUCCUGAAACUCCAGGCGGUUUGAAUUAAAACUGUGAAACCAAA